rnacentral:rRNA from 1 species
GAUGAACGCUGGCGGCGUGCUUAACACAUGCCAGUCGAACGAAGCAUUUGCGACAGAUUUUUUCGGAAUGAAGUUGCUUAUGACUGAGUGGCGGACGGGUGGGUAACGCGUGGGUAACCUGCCUUGUACUGGGGGAUAGCAGCUGGAAACGGCUGGUAAUACCGCAUAAGCGCACAAUGUUGCAUGACAUGGUGUGAAAAACUCCGGUGGUAUAAGAUGGACCCGCGUCUGAUUAGCUAGUUGGUGAGAUAACAGCCCACCAAGGCGACGAUCAGUAGCCGACCUGAGAGGGUGACCGGCCACAUUGGGACUGAGACACGGCCCAGACUCCUACGGGAGGCAGCAGUGGGGAAUAUUGCACAAUGGAGGAAACUCUGAUGCAGCGACGCCGCGUGAGUGAAGAAGUAAUUCGUUAUGUAAAGCUCUAUCAGCAGGGAAGAUAGUGACGGUACCUGACUAAGAAGCUCCGGCUAAAUACGUG